rnacentral:rRNA from 1 species
UACGUAGGGUGCAAGCGUUGCCCGGAUUUAUUGGGCGUAAAGGGCGCGUAGGCGGCCCGGCGCGUCCGCGGUGAAAGCUCCCGGCUCAACUGGGAGAGGUCCGCGGAAACGGUCGGGCUGGAGCAAGGUAGGGGGUCGUGGAAUUCCCGGUGUAGUGGUGGAAUGCGUAGAGAUCGGGAGGAACAUCUGUGGCGAAGGCGACUGCCUGGACCAGCACUGACACUGAGGCACGAAAGCGUGGGGAGCAAACAGG